rnacentral:rRNA from 1 species
AUUGAACGCUGGCGGCAGGCCUAACACAUGCAAGUCGAACGAGUGGCGGACGGGUGAGUAAUGUCUGGGAAACUGCCUGAUGGAGGGGGAUAACUACUGGAAACGGUAGCUAAUACCGCAUACCAUGGGAUGUGCCCAGAUGGGAUUAGCGAGUAGGUGGGGGAAAGGCUCACCUAGGCGACGAGCCCUAGCUGGUCUGAGAGGAUGACCAGCCACACUGGAACGUGUACACGGUCCAGAUUCCUACGGUAGGCACCAGUGGGGAAUAUUGCACAAGGGGCGCAAGCCUGAUGCAGCCAUGCCGCGUGUAUGAAGAAGGCCUUCGGGUUGUAAAGCACUUUCAGCGAGGAGGCGUUACUCGCAGAAGAAGCACCGGCUAACUCCGUGCCAGCCGCCGCGGUAAUAC